rnacentral:rRNA from 1 species
AUUGAACGCUGGCGGCAGGCCUAACACAUGCAAGUCGAACGGUAACAGGGAUCAGCUUGCUGAUUCGCUGACGAGUGGCGGACGGGUGAGUAAUGUCUGGGAAACUGCCUGAUGGAGGGGGAUAACUACUGGAAACGGUAGCUAAUACCGCAUAACGUCGCAAGACCAAAGAGGGGGACCUUCGGGCCUCUUGCCAUCGGAUGUGCCCAGAUGGGAUUAGCUAGUAGGUGGGGUAACGGCUCACCUAGGCGACGAUCCCUAGCUGGUCUGAGAGGAUGACCGGCCACACUGGAACUGGACAACGGGCCAGCCUCCUAGGGGAGGCAGCAGGGGGGAAUAUUGCACAAUGGGCGGAAGCUUGAUGGAGCCAUGCCGGGGGUAUGAAGAAGGCCUGCGGGUUGUAAAGUACUUUCAGGGGGGGGGAAGGGAGUAAAGUUAAAACCUGUGCUCAUGGACGUUACCCGCAAAAGAAGCACCGGCUAACUCCGG